rnacentral:rRNA from 1 species
AGCUUGCUCUCGGGUGACGAGUGGCGGACGGGUGAGUAAUGUCUGGGAAACUGCCUGAUGGAGGGGGAUAACUACUGGAAACGGUAGCUAAUACCGCAUAACGUCGCAAGACCAAAGAGGGGGACCUUCGGGCCUCUUGCCAUCAGAUGUGCCCAGAUGGGAUUAGCUAGUAGGUGGGGUAACGGCUCACCUAGGCGACGAUCCCUAGCUGGUCUGAGAGGAUGACCAGCCACACUGGAACUGAGACACGGUCCAGACUCCUACGGGAGGCAGCAGUGGGGAAUAUUGCACAAUGGGCGCAAGCCUGAUGCAGCCAUGCCGCGUGUAUGAAGAAGGCCUUCGGGUUGUAAAGUACUUUCAGUGGGGAGGAAGGUGUUGUGGUUAAUAACCGUGGCAAUUGACGUUACCCGCAGAAGAAGCACCGGCUAACUCCGUGCCAGCAGCCGCGGUAAUACGGAGGGUGCAAGCGUUAAUCGGAAUUACUGGGCGUAAAGCGCACGCAGGCGGUCUGUCAAGUCGGAUGUGAAAUCCCCGGGCUCAACCUGGGAACUGCAUUCGAAACUGGCAGGCUAGAGUCUUGUAGAGGGGGGUAGAAUUCCAGGUGUA